CUGAUGAAGGAAUGCUGGCCUCAAAGAUUCUCAAUCUUUUGUGGUGGACAGGUGACAGCAGCAUCUGUGGAAAAAACCUGAAAGAAAAAUCCAAAAGGAUCUGAAAUGUCUGCAGACUGCUGUGUGCACUGAGGAUGGAGAAGAUGGAGUGCCAUGGGUGAAAUGCUCCAUCACUGC